AACGAACGCUGGCGGCAUGCCUAACACAUGCAAGUCGAACGAGACCUUCGGGUCUAGUGGCGCACGGGUGCGUACCGCGUGGGAACCUGCACUUAGGUUCGGAAUAACUCCCCGAAAGGGGUGCUAAUACCGGAUAAUGUCUUCGGACCAAAGAUUUAUCGCCUUUGGAUGGGCCCGCGUUGGAUUAGCGAGUUGGUAGGGUAAAAGCCUACCAAGGCGACGAUGCAUAGCUGGUCUGAGAGGAGGAUCAGCCACACUGGGACUGAGACACGGCCCAGACUCCGACGGGAGGGAGCAGUGGGUAAUAUUGGACAAGGGGCGAAAGCCUGAUCCAGCAACGCCGCGUGAGUGAUGAAGGCCGUAGGGUUGUAAAGCUCUUUUACCCGGGAUGAUAAUGACAGUACCGGGAGAAUAAGCUCCGGCUAACUCCGUG
rnacentral:rRNA from 1 species